GAUCCCUUCUUGGUUUACCUUGAACCUAUUAGCUCUCAUCUCUCUAAAUUAUUCCCAGCCUGGCUGGUUACUUGACGACUUUCAGCUCUGUGUGGAGAUUGUUGUCCUUUGUUGAUAAGCAAUCGGUACUGAAACAAAUUCCAGCUGGCACCAACUGACAUGUGGCAGCAUAGACGUCUCGACGUGGAAGAUCUGUGUGAACAGGUCUAUUCUCACUCCUUUUACCAAUGUUUACCAAAAAAGUACUUCCAGAGGCAAGGGAAGGAUGCACCAAAGAGGAAUGAGA